rnacentral:rRNA from 1 species
CCUACGGGGGGCAGCAGUGGGGGAUAUUGCACAAUGGGGGAAACCCUGAUGCAGCGACGCCGCGUGUGGGAAGACGGUCCUCUGGAUUGUAAACCACUGUCCCCAGGGACGAAGAUGACGGUACCUGGGGAGGAAGCUCCGGCUAACUACGUGCCAGCAGCCGCGGUAAUACGUAGGGAGCAAGCGUUGUCCGGAAUUACUGGGUGUAAAGGGAGCGUAGGCGGGAUGGCAAGUUGGGUGUUAAAUCUACCGGCUCAACUGGUAGUCGCACUCAAAACUGCUAUUCUUGAGUGAAGUAGAGGCAG